CGUGUUAUUAAUUUAUUUAUUUAUUCACAUCAUUAGCUCACUUCACACUUGUGUGGCUAUUCUAGUGCCAGCGUCGAAUAAUAGAAUGGUGGUUGUCAGGGUGACACACAUAGGUACAUAACAUUCAUACAUGCAUACGCCCUCGUUCCCCCACCAAUCUCACACCCACACUAUUACAUAAGUGCCGUCACAGAGAGUAGGCCCGCUAACGAUCGCUCCUUUGUUGCUGCAGCAAAUGCUGGCGAAGUUCUCUUUUAAAAGCUAUCAUGUCCAGAUCGUGUUACCGAAAUUAUCGAUAACGUUAGUCGCUGACAUUGAUGCACCCUCCCCCUCAGACGGAGCUGAAACAUUACGAGCAGCGACUGCAGAAACUGAGGCACGUUCAGAUGGACAUGCUGUCCAAAGAUGGAAGUCAUCGGCACACCGACGACGACGAUUUACCGGAUAAAACUGAGGGACGUAAGGUAUUCGAUCGGAAGAUCAAGGAUCAGGAGAGGCACGUGGAAAAGCUACAGGUGAUGCUGGAGGAUAAGAUACUCAGCCGUCACACUGAGCUAUGAUGACGUCAUUGAGGGACUCGAUCGGUGGCGUCAGUAUGUGGAUGACGUCACCGAUGGCCGUGGUGAUGGGGAAUUGGUUGCAUUGAAUUGUGGUGUGGUUAGUGCCGAAUUAUGACGUCAUAAGAUAAUCGGUGUCAGGGCUAUGAAUAUCUCACACUAGUGAAUAGGACGUGCCCACAGAACUGAAACUCAAACGUCCGUACCGUGACGUCACAAUGAAGUAUGAACUAUGACGUCAUUCAGAGUCACCUGUUGGGUAAACGAUGCAUACAACGGCGGAAAUGGUUCACUUUUAGUCAUCCUGAACACAGAAGUGAACUUGAAUUGGUGUCGUUUUUUAUUGACGUUUUUCUACUCGUAUUUCCUGUUUUUGUAUUAUCUCAACAAUCAUAUUUCUUUUUCGCGUAGUACUAUUUACACCAAUAGGGAUAAGGUGUCCUUUUGUCAUUACUUCUUUCUGAUAGUUUACGUAUGUUGUAUUUCAUAGGCAUUACAGCGAAGUGAUGUCAGACCAAACAGUUCGUAUUUGGUGGAUUGUCCAUAGUCAUGUUGUUUGGAUUCAGAUAUGGAUACGAAUCCGGGACCUGGAUCCGGAUGCCGUUAAAUACGUUUCCGAACGCAUGUCAAGUAUAGGCAACGUUAGGUCAUCUUGCCCCCAGUGGUACUUUUCGUCAUAACUAGGAGGUAGACCGAAGACUGGUGUUUCUUCAGACCCCCUCCCCCCGCGCCACCUGACGAAGUGUUAUACAUAGAUGCGUUUUUGUGAGAGGCUAUCGCAACAUUGUCACGUUUAUGAGUGCUGUUAAAGCUGCACUUGCAGCUAUCAAAUCCGUCCAAUUUGAUCUGAUACGGUGUGUUAUACUAUCGUUCGCAACGCUGAAGCAGUCUUUUGGUGUAUGCUAGGCGGCAGCGGCUUAUCUUAUGACUGUCGCUUGUGGCUCGAAUCUAUCUUUGGUACGAAAAUAUAGCGUAGGUA